ACCGCAGAUGCCUGUGAAGUCUUCAGUCAGCAGAAGUCUUCCUCAUGGGUGAAUGCCAGAAUUUCCUGCAUGAGCUCAACUAUCCUGGGUCACCAGUUGGCUCUGCAGUGGCUAGAAAAUUUUCCUGCAUCUCUCCAGAGCCUCUUCUGGAAAAAUGGAUGUUCCAGCAGAAGGUGGCACAGUUCACCUGGUUUGUCGAGAUCAAGCCCGAGCAGAAGAUGCCAGGAGUGAGAUCAUCCGGGGAACGGUAACCAGUCUCAUGCCAUCAGGUGCCUACCAGAGACUUCGUGCUGGCUGUGAGCGUGAGGGUCUCUAAAUCUCCCUCUAAUGUCUGCAAGUGCCACUGCGAUCCGCGGGCUGCAGUUCUUGAGAUUGAAAGCUGGCUGGCUGCCUGCUGAUAACUUUCAGUGGUGCUGCUGCCGGAUGCAACAAGAAUACUAAUCUCAGGCCGCCGGCAGGAGGAGGUUUGCCUGGAUUCCUGCCUGCUCUGGUGUGGGCCACAGGCUUUAAAAAGUGUAUUUAAAUGGAAAAUGAUGAUAGUAUGGAUCUGUUUGUAAUAUCCAGCCAGGCUUAUAACCAAUGCCACCAUCUUUAGGAGGGGAAGAGAGCUGAAAAGGGAAGCGAGCAUGUUCCUGGACUGGGGAGGAAACCGGCCCUUGCCUACUGCCCCUGUCACCUCCAUGCAGAUGCACUCAGUGGGAUUUGAAUGCACACGCAGACAGUCACUGCUCUCUUGGGUUUAUAAGUGGCCUCCAGCUCCAUCCUCCAGGUGGAGCCUGCAGGAUGAGGGUCCCAGUCUGCCUAUGCAAGUGCCUGUGGCUUCUUUGACUCAGUGUGUCCUCCAAGCCCUGCCAGGGAUCAGCUGCCCCUCCCUGCUUAUGAAGAGGCCCCACUCCACAGCCUCAUCUGGUCUACCAUUGGUAGGCAGCCCCCACACAAAAUCAUGGUAUACAGGAGGAAGUUGGGCUCUGAUAGGAGUCUUGGUUUUGCCCUUCCUGGCCUGUGAGCUCAGGCAAUGUUCUUAGCUUCCCAGAACCUUCCUUUCCUCAUUGAAAAACAGGGGUAACGACUUUAUUGGUUUUUUAAUGUGUAUUUAAGGGUGAAUUAUAUGCCAAGCAGCAUGCUGGGAACUGGAGACACAGGUGAUUGGGACAGACACAGCCCCUGACAGUCUUAUGCAGGAUAAAAGCGAUUAACAAGCAGUUUCUUUGAAUUGUGUGCCUGUCCUGGGCCUGGCCACUGUGCUGUGUAUCACAGCCCAAGUGGGUUGGGGGACAAAUCAUGUGAACCUCAAGUUACAUGUUUCUUCACCUCCUGCAGCCAGACAGCUUUUGGCUGGGUUUGACCAAUGGCAGGAAUUAGAGGAAGAUUGGCAGGUGGAAGGAAGGUGGGGAAUUGAGAUAUUGGCUUCCCCAGUGACAGCUGAAUCUCCUCUCUGGUUCUUCCUUCUGGUUCCUGGGCUCAGGCCACACUGCAUUCCCCUUUGUUCCUUGAGCCUAGGGCUGGUGAUAAUAUGCUGCUAUUACUAAUCUCUGGGUUACUCCACCAAUCCUGGUUGAGUUCUCAUCUUCCUUAAUCACCUGGGAAGUUAAUCCCUGCAUUCAAUUCCCUCUCUUGAAAGAGGUGUCUGUUAGACAUUACUGAAAUAACAAAGGGCUACAAGAUGGGAAGCUCAGGGUGUCCUAAGAAUAAACAGCUCUCAGUCAAUAGAAGCAGCUACUAUAAUUAUUGUUGGUAUUAUCAGUAUUGUGUAUACUAAUAUUAUUACCACUCCCAACCUUUCAUUCCAUGCUUCAGCUUUCUUCUGUUGACUCAGUGCUUGGGCCUUGCUCAGUGGGAGGUGGAAGCCUGCAGGCCCCCAGAAGCAGAAAUGUGUGGUAGAGCAGUGAGGGCCCUGGAGCAGCUGCUCCUGCCUGCAUGGUUGGGUGAACAUCAAAGAAAGAGGAUCCCUCAGGCAGGAGGGUCUGGGUGAGGUGUGCAGCAGACCCGCUGAGCCAGGGAGUGCAGGCGCCAGGUAAGACUCAGUGUCACGAGGGAAUCUCGGCUGCUUGUGCAUGCUAGCUUGGUAAGAUCAGGCGUUUGGUCUUAUAGAGAGGUGAAUAUCAUGCCGAGGUGAUCUUUGCAGAGAGGUUAUGUGUGGCCUAAGUUUGGGGAAAGGAGUGCUGGUUACUGUAGAGCAGCCUCCCCGCUCACCAGUCCACUGGACACGAUCCUCCCAAAGGGCCUGGGGGAGAAACAGCGUGGAUGUUUCUCCCCAGGCUUCUGGUCGCAGUUCAGCCCCACCUUACUUCCUGGCUCCAGACUUUUGUCUAGCAGUUACCCCCAUGGGCAACAUU